rnacentral:misc_RNA from 1 species
CGAUGAGCGGCUCGACUCCGUGGCCUGGGGGAACGUGAACGGGUUGGGUCGCGGUGUACCCCGGUUCGAGUCCNAAGCUAAACAAUCAAACUCGGAUCGNCCGGAGCCNCGGCUAACGUGGNAUUGGCUAUCCCGUCUCGACCCAGCCGACGAAUAUCCAGGGUACGGAGUAGAGUCGUUUUUGCUGCUUUGUUGCUUUUUCCUGGACGGGUGCCAUUGCCACGUCAAGCUUUAGAACGCUCAGUUCUCGGGCCGUGAGUGGCUCGNGCCCAUAGUCUGGAGAAUCAGCCNCCAGGGUUGCGUUGCGGUAUGCCCCGGUUCGAGCCNNANNGCGGCUCGUAUUGGCCGGUUUCCGCGACAAGCGAGGUUUGGCAGCCCCGUCAUUUCCAAGACCCCGCCAGCCGACUUCGCCAGUUUACGGGAGCGAGCCCUUUUUUUUUGUUUUUUGUUGACCAGAUGCAUCCCG